CUAAAGCCAGUGCAUUAAAAAUAACCAAAUCCCGAAGAUAAGAUGGAGUCAGUUGGCAAUAGAAUAGGAGGGAAAAUCAAAGUCAAAAAAGCAAAGGAAGGCUCAAACGAACCCUACAUAUACACCCCCACAAAGGCACGAAACUGAAGAAACAACAAACAAAGAGGGGUGUGGCAGUGCGGCCUUCAGGAAAUACUAUUUUCCGGCGACUGUUUGAUCCUCUCCCGCUCCUGAUGCUGUUCUUCCCUGGAUGGCUUAAUCAGUGUUCCGGAGCAUUGCGGCGAUUUAUAAUUGGAGGAGCGAGGGGCUGAUUUACAGGUUUGAUGGAUUCAAGAAAUAUAUAGAUAAAUGUCAAUCUGGUAUCUAUCGGGUGUAUGCAAUUGAAUCCUACACCACACAAAUUUGAA